GCCUUCGUGGUGCAGUGGUCAGCACACUCGACGAGUAACCGAGAGGCCCAUGGUUCGAAUCCUGGAGAGGGAA
rnacentral:tRNA from 1 species